rnacentral:rRNA from 1 species
AGUUUGAUCCUGGCUCAGAUUGAACGCUGGCGGCAGGCUUAACACAUGCAAGUCGAGCGGGGGAAGGUAGCUUGCUACCGGACCUAGCGGCGGACGGGUGAGUAAUGCUUAGGAAUCUGCCUAUUAGUGGGGGACAACAUCUCGAAAGGGAUGCUAAUACCGCAUACGUCCUACGGGAGAAAGCAGGGGAUCUUCGGACCUUGCGCUAAUAGAUGAGCCUAAGUCGGAUUAGCUAGUUGGUGGGGUAAAGGCCUACCAAGGCGACGAUCUGUAGCGGGUCUGAGAGGAUGAUCCGCCACACUGGGACUGAGACACGGCCCAGACUCCUACGGGAGGCAGCAGUGGGGAAUAUUGGACAAUGGGGGGAACCCUGAUCCAGCCAUGCCGCGUGUGUGAAGAAGGCCUUAUGGUUGUAAAGCACUUUAAGCGAGGAGGAGGCUACUUUAGUUAAUACCUAGAGAUAGUGGACGUUACUCGCAGAAUAAGCACCGGCUAACUCUGUGCCAGCAGCCGCGGUAAUACAGAGGGUGCGAGCGUUAAUCGGAUUUACUGGGCGUAAAGCGUGCGUAGGCGGCUUAUUAAGUCGGAUGUGAAAUCCCCGAGCUUAACUUGGGAAUUGCAUUCGAUACUGGUGAGCUAGAGUAUGGGAGAGGAUGGUAGAAUUCCAGGUGUAGCGGUGAAAUGCGUAGAGAUCUGGAGGAAUACCGAUGGCGAAGGCAGCCAUCUGGCCUAAUACUGACGCUGAGGUACGAAAGCAUGGGGAGCAAACAGGAUUAGAUACCCUGGUAGUCC